rnacentral:misc_RNA from 1 species
AUCUAGCCCCGAUAGAGCCGAUAUCCUCGCAGAGAUAAAGGCGAAAGCGGGACUGAAC